rnacentral:tRNA from 1 species
ACCCGGCUGGCUCAGUCGGUGGAGCGUGCGACUCUGGAUCUUGGGGUUGUGAGUUCGAGCCCCACGUGGGGUG